UAAAUAUUGAACAAGUGAUGACCAUUGUUGUUGUGCAAAAUACUAUUUAUAACAUUCUUCCUUGUUUAAUAAUCAUCAUUCAAUAUUAUCCAAAAUAUUUAGCUUAUCUUUAAAUUCCAGUGAUUUAAUCUCAACUCAAAUUUAAUCUCAAAUCUAAACUCAUGUCCAUGUAUAGAGUAGGAUUUCAAUUAAAGUUGAAUUUGUCACUGUUGUGUUCAGCUGUAUUAUUCAAAUUUAGAUGUUUUAAUAGAGAAUACAUUUUUUAAUCUAAAAAAAUAACUUGCCAGGAAAAUGUAUGUGCUUUAGUUUGAACCACAUGACUGUGUGGAUUGAGAUGCUUGCUGCCAUCUAAAAGUGGGGUGCCCAAUUUAUCAGCUUAAUUUGCAAAAGUUUAACAUGCUUGUUCAUAAAAACUGCUUUCAAAGUAAAUGCUUUUAAAAUACUUUUUUUCUUCAUGUGCAGUUUUGAAAUAAAAAUAGAGGCAGUCAUAUAUGAUAAAGGAGAUCACAGGUAGUUGGGUGAGCUCAAAGAGAAGAAAGAGAAAAGAAGAGUGAUGGUUGAGUAAAAAGCAAAAUCAGUAAAGGACAGGAUAUCAGAGUGAUAAAGAGAAAUGGAUUGAAAUCUUGAUACCAUUUUCCUUCAAUUUUAAGCACAUUAUCAUUGCAAUGAAAUUAGAAAUCCCUACUUCAAAUUUGUC
rnacentral:lncRNA from 1 species